rnacentral:sRNA from 1 species
AUAUUUUGUGUAUGUUGAAGUGAUAAUAACGAUUUUAUAUUGCACUCAACAUGCAGAUAGCACGAAGGAAGAUAACGUUGCUUCAGCAACGGCCCGUAGGGCGAGGCGAUAGCCGAGUAAUCUUUCUGGGUGCACCA